UACGUAGGGGGCUAGCGUUGUCCAGAAUCAUUGGGCGUAAAGCGCGCGUAGGCGGCCAGAUAAGUCCGGUGUGAAAGUCACAGGCUCAACCUGUGAAUGCCGCUGGAAACUGUCUGGCUAGAGUCCGGAAGGGGCGAGUGGAAUUCCUGGUGUAGCGGUGAAAUGCGCAGAUAUCAGGAGGAACACCAAUGGCGAAGGCAGCUCGCUGGAACGGUACUGACGCUGAGGCGCGAAAGCGUGGGGAGCGAACAGG
rnacentral:rRNA from 1 species